GACGAACGCUGGCGGCGUGCUUAACACAUGCAAGUCGAACGGAUUGCUUGGUGCUUGCACUGAGUGGUUAGUGGCGAACGGGUGAGUAACACGUGAGUAACCUGCCCCCUUCUUUGGGAUAAGCACCUGAAAGGGUGUCUAAUACUGAUUAUUCUGCUGGAAUCGCAUGGUUUUGGUUGGAAAGGUUUUUUCUGGUGGGGGAUGGGCUCGCGGCUUAUCAGCUUGUUGGUGGGGUAAUGGCUUACCAAGGCUUUGACGGGUAACCGGCCUGAGAGGGUGACCGGUCACAUUGGGACUGAGAUACGGCCCAGACUCCUACGGGAGGCAGCAGUAGGGAAUAUUGCACAAUGGACGAAAGUCUGAUGCAGCGACGCCGCGUGAGGGAUGAAGGCCUUCGGGUUGUAAACCUUUUUCGCUUUUGACCAAGGCAGCAUUUUGGUGUUGUUGAGGGUAUGAGGUAAAGAAGCUCCGGCUAACUACGUGCCAGCAGCCGCUGUAA
rnacentral:rRNA from 1 species